rnacentral:rRNA from 1 species
AGCAGCCGCGGUAACUCCAGCUCCAAUAGCGUAUAUUAAAGUUGUUGCAGUUAAAAAGCUCGUAGUUGAAUUUCGGGGUCAGCAAGUUGGUCGUGCCAACGGUAUGUACUGGCUUCGCUGAUUCCUCCUUCUUGUAGAACUGUAAUGCCAUUAAUUUGGUGUUGCAGGGAAACAGGACUGUUACUUUGAAAAGAUUAGAGUGUUUAAAGCAGGCUUACGCUUGAAUACAUUAGCAUGGAAUAAUGAAAUAGGACGUUGAUCCUAUUUUGUUGGUUUCUAGGAUUGACGUAAUGAUUAAUAGGGAUAGUUGGGGGCAUUAGUAUUCAAUUGUCAGAGGUGAAAUUCUUGGAUUUAUUGAAGACUAACUACUGCGAAAGCAUUUGCCAAGGAUGUUUUCAUUAAUCAAGAACGAAAGUUAGGGGAUCGAAGACGAUCAGAUACCGUCGUAGU